UGAAGGAUACGGAAGCAGAAAAACUGUUCCGGAUCCGGGAGGCGGAAGAAACAAAAAACAACCUGAUGCAGGUAGCCAGUGAGCAUAUUGCGCCGCUUCAGGAUGCUGCAGAUCUGGAAAUUGCAACGGAGGAAGAAACCUC
rnacentral:sRNA from 16 species